rnacentral:rRNA from 1 species
GGAUGAACGCUAGCUACAGGCUUAACACGAUGGCGAAGUCGGGGGCAGCAUGGUUUGUGCUUGCACAGACCGAUGGCGACCGGCGCACGGGUGAGUAACACGUAUCCAACCUGCCUUGUACCCGGGGAUAGCCCUCUGAAAGGAGGAUUAAUACCCCGAUGUGCUGCGGUGGCGGCAUCGCCUUCGCAGUAAAGAUUCAUCGGUACACAGAUGGGGAUGCGUCUGAUUAGCUUGUCGGCGGGUAACGGCCCACCGAGGCUACGAUCAGUAGGGGUUCUGAGAGGAAGGUCCCCCACAUAGGAACUGAGACACGGUCCUAACUCCUACGGGAGGCAGCAGUGAGGAAUAUUGGUCAAUGGCCGCAAGGCUGAACCAGCCAAGUAGCGUGAAGGAUGACUGCCCUACGGGUUGUAAACUUCUUUUAUGCGGGAAUAAAGUGCCGUACGCGUACGGUUUUGCAUGUACCGCAUGAAUAAGCAUCGGCUAAUUCCGUGCC